GCCCGUUUGGCUUAGGGGUACAGCGUCGCACUCGUAAUGCGAAGAUCCGCGGUUCGAUUCCGCGAAUGGGCA
rnacentral:tRNA from 1 species